UACGGAGGGGGCAAGCGUUAUUCGGAAUUACUGGGCGUAAAGCGCACGUAGGCGGCAAAAUAAGUCACAGGUGAAAGCCCUUGGCUCAACCAAGGAACUGCCUUUGAAACUGCUUUGCUUGAGUCCGGGAGGGGGGAGCGGAAUUCCCAGUGUAGCGGUGAAAUGCGUAGAUACUGGGAGGAACACCGGUGGCGAAGGCGGCUCCCUGGACCGGUACUGACGCUGAGGUGCGAAAGCGUGGGUAGCAAACAGG
rnacentral:rRNA from 1 species